rnacentral:rRNA from 1 species
GCAUGAGCAACCUGCCCUUCAGAGGGGGACAACAGUUGGAAACGACUGCUAAUACCGCAUAACAUAUCCGGGAGGCAUCUCCUGGAUAUCAAAGAUUUAUCGCUGAAGGAUGGGCUCAUGUCUGAUUAGCUAGUUGGUGGGGUAACGGCCCACCAAGGCUACGAUCAGUAGCCGGUCUGAGAGGAUGAACGGCCACAUUGGGACUGAGAUACGGCCCAGACUCCUACGGAAGGCAGCAG